CACAACCUCCUCCUCCUCCUUCUCCUCCUCGUCCUAAUGCGCCUCCUCCACCUCUUCCACUUUCGCCUCCUUCACAAGCAGCAGCAACACCAAGUUAUUCACCUCCUACAGUUGGUCCAGGUUUUCCAGUUUCAGCUCCAGGAGUAUCAUCUAAAGGCGGGAAAGGCCAUGGAUCAAUUCACUAUCACUAUCAUUUGUAUCCUGACAAGACGCCACAUGUAGCUCCCGUUUGUCCAACCAGCUGUACCAAUUCAGGAUAUGGGUGCCCACUUCAAUGUCCGUCUCAGUGUUGUAAGUAGGGUGUGGUGAUUGCCUUGACAACGGAGAAGUGAACACAGCCAUAAAGGAGACAGCAGCUGGAACUCGAAAAGCACAGAAACUAGCAUCACGUUUCGUCCCAUACUCCCUUCCGCAGUACCUCACGAUGAAAAUAUAGCUGAGUCCUACCGACAAUUUGUAAACCCCAAGAUAUGAAUCGACGUUGACUCAUUGAAGAGAAAAAGCGUUCGCUUUUGUCAUUUUAAGAAACGCAGUUCUUCGCUGUAUUUGGUUCGUUAAUCUAUCAGCUGGGUCCUCGUUGUUGGUAUCGCUUAUAAUGACAGCGCAUGCGUUUUCGGAUCUAGAUUUCUUGUUUAUUAGAAUUAGGAAAGUUUCCACUUAAAAAUAAUCAGUACUGUAACGUUAUGAUGAACUUAAGGGUUUUUUUGCUUUGGGACAUUUUAAUGAUCUAAUUAAGUGAUUUGUUUUUCUAUCAUAUAUAAAACUUAUCAGCCUCACGAUUCUCAAACUCGUUCCUCAAGUCUUCGUUCCUCACUGGGCAAACUUGACAAAGUGAGCGACUCUCGAGAGUUCCGUUACAACCUUCAUGACAUUUUAAUUUAUUUAAGAACAAUGAAAUGAGCGAAAGGGUAACAAUUGGUGAUUCGUUUGACAUUAGUUGUCAGUUAGGUAUGCGCAGUUCAAGCGGAGGUUCAAAAACAAACUUUCCAGGGUACGGCGUUUGCUUCCUGACCGCUGGUAAGGAGGAACGAAGACUGUGAUCUUGAAUUAAGUUUAUUUAUCUAUUUAAUUUAAUGUUUCAUCACCCUCUUAUGUACAAAGUACUAAGCAUACGUGUUUCAUUUUACUUUUUAUAGUGACCUGUCUUUUACUUGAAUUAGUUUGCUCUGAAUGUAUGCUAUUAAAACAUCUUCUUGCUACUCUGGACGAGAAGUAUA